AGUGAACGCUGGCGGCAGGCCUAACACAUGCAAGUCGAGCGGCAGCGCGGGUGUAGCAAUACAUCUGGCGGCGAGCGGCGGACGGGUGAGGAAUACAUCGGAAUUUACCCAAUCGUGGGGGAUAACGUAGGGAAACUUACGCUAAUACCGCAUGAACUGGAGACAGCAAAGCGGCGGACCUUCGGGCGUCGCGCGGUUGGAUGAGCCGAUGUCGGAUUAGCAGUUGGCGGGGUAAAGGCCCACCAAGGCGACGAUCCGUAGCUGGUCUGAGAGGAUGAUCAGCCACACUGGAACUGAGACACGGUCCAGACUCCUACGGGAGGCAGCAGUGGGGAAUAUUGGACAAUGGGCGCAAGCCUGAUCCAGCCAUGCCGCGUGU
rnacentral:rRNA from 1 species